UUGGAGUGUAAUGUUUUUAAACUAAAUUAUUAAUAGAUAUGUCCUUAAAAAUUAAAUAAUUUGGCGGUAUUUUAGUCUUUUCAGAGGAACCUGUUUUUUAAUUGAUAAUCCACAAUUUAAAUAAUUUAUAUUAGAAAUUUACAUAUCAUCGUUAUUAAGUAUUUUUAUAGAAUUUAAUAUUUAGAUUAUUUAAUUUAAUUUUAAUUCAGAUCAUGGUGUAGUUUAUAUAUAAGUGAAAAUGGGUUACAAUAUAUUAAAAUUAGAUUAUUAAAUUAAGUAUAGUAUGAAAUUGGAUUUGAAAGUAAUUAGUUUUAUUUUUUAUUAAUGAUUAAGCCCUAAAAUAUGU
rnacentral:rRNA from 1 species